rnacentral:tRNA from 1 species
GGAGGGGCCAGCCGACAGAUGGCGACGGCCGCAGUCCCGAAAACUGUUGGCGCUUUCGAGCGCGUGCGAGUUCGACCCUCGCCCCCUCCGC